rnacentral:rRNA from 1 species
UACAGAGGUCUCAAGCGUUGUUCGGAUUCAUUGGGCGUAAAGGGUGUGUAGGUGGCGCGCUAAGUCGGGUGUGAAAUUUCGGAGCUUAACUCCGAAACUGCAUUCGAUACUGGCGUGCUUGAGGACUGGAGAGGAGACUGGAAUUUACGGUGUAGCAGUGAAAUGCGUAGAUAUCGUAAGGAAGACCAGUGGCGAAGGCGGGUC